rnacentral:rRNA from 1 species
UUUUUGUUUAUAAUUUAAAGUUUAAUCUGCCCACUGAUAAUAAUUAAAGGGCUGCAGUAUAUUGACUGUACAAAGGUAGCAUAAUCAUUAGUCUUUUAAUUGAAGACUUGUAUGAAAGAUUUGAUGAGAUAUAAACUGUCUCUUAUUUAAAAUUAGAAAUUAAUUUUUUAAUAAAAAAGUUAAAAUAAAUUUAAAAGACGAGAAGACCCUAUAGAGUUUUAUAAUUAUUUUAAUUGAUUAUUUUUAUAAAUUUUAAUUAAAAAUUAAUAUUAAUUAUUUAAUUGGGGUGAUUGAAAAAUUAAAUAAACUUUUUAUAUAAUUAAACAUAAAUUAAUGAAUAAAUGAUCCAUAAUUUAUGAUUAAAAGAAAAAAUUACCUUAGGGAUAACAGCGUAAUUUUUUUUUUUAGUUCAAAUAAAAAAAAGAGUUUGCGACCUCGAUGUUGGAUUAAGAUAAAAUUUAAAUGUAGAAGUUUAAAAUUUUUGAUCUGUUCGAUCAUUAAAAUCUUACAUGAUCUGAGCUUCAAACC